GCUAGGACGAACGCUGGCGGCGUGCUUCAUACAUGCAAGUCGAACGAGAAAUUACCUUCGGGUAAUGGAAAGUGGCGGACGGGUGAGUAAUAUGUAGAGAAUCUGCCUCAAGCGGGGGAUAGCAGUUGGAAACGACUAUUAAUACCCUAUAUGAGCGUAACUGAAAUGUUAUUCUUGAAAACUCCGGUGCUUGGAGAUGAGUCUGCAUCUGAUUAGCUAGUUGGGGGUGUAAUGGACCACCAAGGCGACGAUCAGUAGCUGGUUUGAGAGGAUGAUCAGCCACAAUGGGACUGAGACACGGCCCAUACUCCUACGGGAGGCAGCAGUAGGGAAUUUUGCGCAAUGGGCGAAAGCCUGACGCAGCCAACGCCGCGUGAUCGAGACGCUUUUCGGAGUGUAAAGAUCUGUCACAGGGGACGAACGAUGACGGUACCCUGAGAGGAAGCACCGGCUAACUCCGUGCCAGCCGCAGC
rnacentral:rRNA from 1 species